rnacentral:rRNA from 1 species
GAAACACGGACCAAGGAGUUUAAUUUACAUGCGAGUUUGCGAGUGCAAAACUCAUAAGCGAAAUGAAAGUGAGUCCAAGGUGCCAAGCCGCAAGGUAGCAGCAUCGGCCUUCCCUGAUCUUCUGUGAAGGGUAUGAGCAAGAGCAUGUAUGUUAAGACCCGAAAGAUGACGAUCUAUGCUUGAGUAGGAUGAAGCCAGGAGAAAUUCUGGUGGAGGUCCGAACAGAUACUAACGUGCAAAUUGUUCUGCGAACUUGAGUAUAGGGGCGAAAAACCAAUCGAGUCUUCUAGUAGCUGGUUCCUUCUGAAGUUUCUCUCAGGACAGCAAGGACAACAACGCAGUUUUAUUAGGUAAAGCGAAUGAUUAGAGGCCUCCGGGGCUUAAUGUCCUGGACCUAUUCUCAAACUUUAAAUUGGUAAGAGCCUUCGGUUUUCUUAAUUGAACCGAGGGGCAGAAUGCGUGUUCUUAGUGGGCCAUUUUUGGUAAGCAGAACUGGCGAUGAGGGAUGCUCCUAAAGUCGAGUUAAGGUGCCUAAAUUGCAAGCAUCAGACACCAUGAAAGGCGUUGAUUCGUUCAGACAAUCGGAACGUGACCCUGAGAGUAGGUAUCGUUUAAAGACCGUUUCCCACCCACCGAUUUAACGAAUCAGCCCUAAAAAUGGAUGGCGCUAUAUUGUAAUACCGACACUCGACCUUCAAGGCAAAAAGCAGCCUUGAAGAGUAAGAAGGCGUGGAAGUAGUGCUGAAGCCGCGACGUGAGUCUAGGUGGAACUGCUUCUAGUGCAGAUCUUGGUGGUAGUAGUAAUUAUUCAAAUGAGAACUUUGAAGACUGAAGCUAGAGACGGGUUCCGUGAGAACAGCAAUUGGUCACGGGUUACUCGAUCCUAAGGCAAGGCGGAAACGCCGCGAAGCAGUGUUCCACUGCGGUGCCGAAAGGGAAUGAGGUUAAUAUUCCUCAAGUUUGCAAUGGAUCCUGUGUGGCAACACAAACAACCUCGGAGACAUCGGCGCGUACCCCUGGAAGAGUUUUCUUUUCUUCUUAACCGCUCGAAGCCAUGGAAUUGGAUUAUCCAGAGAUAUGGCCUUAAGGCGGGAAGAGCGACUCACUCUUGGGUCGGUGGUGCGUUCGCGACGAUCAGUGAAAAUCCGAGCUCGAUACUCAAUCCAUUCAAAAUCGUACCAUAACCGCAUCAGGUCUCCAAGGUUAGCAGCCUCUGGUCAACUAGAAGAAAGUCAUUUAGGGAAUUCGGCAAAAUAGAUCCGUAACUUCGGGAAAAGGAUUGGCUCUGAGGACUGGGCAUGCAUCCCUCUGUCCACGACCGAUUGGACUUGACUGAGGGCCUAGCUCUAGGUCGAGAACGAGGAGUUGGUGACUCUGGGUUUGUAUGCGAUCAUCAGUCAGCUCAGAACUGAAGCGGUCAAGGGGAAUCUAACUGUUUAAUAAAAACAAAGCUUUGUGAUGUCCCGAAAGGGUUUUGACACAAUGUGAUUUCUGCCCAGUGCUUUGAACGUUAACGUGAAGAAAUUCAACUAAGCGCAGGUAAACGGCAGGUGUAACUAUAACACUUUUAAGGUAGCCAAAUGCCUCGUCAUCUAAUUAGUGACGUGCAUGAAUGGAUCAAUGAGAUUCCUACUGUCCCAAAUGACCAUCUAACGAACCCACAGCCAAGGGAACGGGCUUGGCAAAAUCAGCGGGGAAAGAAGACCCUGUUGAGCUU